rnacentral:rRNA from 1 species
AUGGACUUGUUGGCCUUUUCGACCGGUGAAUUUCAUAUCAAAUUUCACCUACGAAACAAGGCUGAUAAUUUUACAUGGAGCCUGGUCGCAGUCUAUGGGGCUGCCCAAGAUGAGCAUAAAUCCGCUUUCCUUCGUGAACUGGUGAAUCUGGCUAAGGAUAACCCGUACCCAAUGCUUAUUGGAGGGGAUUUCAAUAUCCUUAGGUACCAGGAAGAAAAGAAUAAUGACCGCUUCGACACUCACUGGCCUUUCCUAUUCAAUGUUGUGAUUGAUAGUUUGGACCUUCGGGAGGCUUGUAUGUCGGGGCGGCGGUUCACUUGGGCUAAUAACCGUUCUGUGCCAACGUACGAAAAACUCGAUAGGGUACUCAUGGAUACCGAAUGGGAGCUAAAAUUUCCUAUGGUAACCGUACGAGCCCUAGAGAGAAUCGAGGCAUUAUCGGAUCAUGCGCCAAUCAUUCUUGAUUCUAAUUCUACGAGCCAUUCUUCCCGCCACCCUUUCAAAUUUGAAUUGGCAUGGCUGCACCGGGAAGGUUUUGUAGAAAUAAUCAAGAAAGUUUGGGCGAGGCCAGCCAUUGGUCGUACACCGAUUCAGAGAUGGAAUUAUAAAAUAAGGGCCAUGAGGCAACACCUCUUUGGAUGGGCGAAACACAUCAAUGGGUUAUAUAAAAAAGAAAAGCAGCGCCUUUGUACCAUCAUUGAUGACCUCGACAAAAUUGCAGAGACCCGCACCUUAUCUCAACAUGAGAUUGAAUUGAAAAAUCAACCUAAUGAGAAGGUUGCCCGUCUUCUGCGAGAAGAGGAGAUCACAUACUACCAGAGGUCCAAAGCUGACUUCAUUCUAUUGGGAGAUAGUAAUACAAGAUAA